AUUGAACGCUGGCGGCAGGCCUAACACAUGCAAGUCGAACGAGUGGCGGACGGGUGAGUAAUGUCUGGGAAACUGCCCGAUGGAGGGGGAUAACUACUGGAAACUGUAGCUACUACCGCAUACCAUCGGAUGUGCCCAGAUGGGCUUAGCUAGUAGGUGGGGUAACGCCGCACCUAGGCGACGAUCCCUAGCUGGUCUGAGAGGAUGCACAGCCACACGGGAACUGAGACACGGUCCAGACUCCUACGGGAGGCAGAAGUGGGGAAUAUUGCACAAUGGGCGCAAGCCGGAUAAAGCCAUGCCGCGUGUAUGAAGAAGGCCUUCGGGUUGUAAAGUACUUUCAGCGAGGAGGCGUUACUCGCAGAAGAAGCACCGGCUAACUCCGUGCCAGCAGCCGCGGUAAUUC
rnacentral:rRNA from 1 species